rnacentral:lncRNA from 1 species
GGGAAAUGGCCAAUCCCUGCUGGGAGGGACAGAGUCCGCCCCUGAGCAGCAACUGCAAAACAAGACACUCCUGAGUGAAGAGUGAGCACCAAACGGAUGGGGCGGAUUCCAGGCACUGAUGAAGACAUCUUUUCCAGUGGGCGGGGCCACUGUGCCUACAGUUCUCUCCUACCUGAGCCCCACAUGGGUGAAGAGGCUGAGGAUCAGAACCCCUUACAACUACGUCACCAUGAUGCAAUCAUCCCCCUGGCUUAGUGGUACUCGGUGGCAAUAUUUGGGCUUUUAAAGACUGUGGUGAGGGGGCUGGGGUUGUGGCUCAGCGGUAGAGCGCUUGCUUCACACAUGCAAGGCCCCUGGGUUCGAUCCUCAGCACCACAUAAAAAUAAACAAAUAAAGGUAUUAUGUCCA